GGGGAUUUAGCUCAGAGGUAGAGCACUUGCCUAGCAAGCUCAAGGCCCUGGGUUCAGUCCCCA
rnacentral:tRNA from 1 species